ACGGAAGGCAGCAGUGGGGAAUAUUGGACAAUGGGGGAAACCCUGAUCCAGCGACGCCGCGUGAGUGAAGAAGUAUUUCGGUAUGUAAAGCUCUAUCAGCAGGGAAGAUAAUGACGGUACCUGACUAAGAAGCCCCGGCUAACUACGUGCCAGCAGCCGCGGUAAUACGUAGGGGGCAAGCGUUAUCCGGAUUUACUGGGUGUAAAGGGAGCGUAGACGGCAUGGCAAGUCUGAUGUGAAAACCCGGGGCUCAACCCCGGGACUGCAUUGGAAACUGUCAGGCUAGAGUGCAGGAGAGGUAAGUGGAAUUCCUAGUGUAGCGGUGAAAUGCGUAGAUAUUAGGAGGAACACCAGUGGCGAAGGCGGCUUGCUGGACUGUAACUGACGUUGAGGCUCGAAAGCGUGGGGAGCAAACAGGAUUAGAUACCCUGGUA
rnacentral:rRNA from 1 species